UACGUAGGGUCCGAGCGUUGUCCGGAAUUAUUGGGCGUAAAGGGCUCGUAGGCGGUUUGUCGCGUCGGGAGUGAAAUCACCGGGCUUAACUUGGUGCUUGCUUUCGAUACGGGCAGACUGGAGGUAUGCAGGGGAGAACGGAAUUCCUGGUGUAGCGGUGAAAUGCGCAGAUAUCAGGAGGAACACCGGUGGCGAAGGCGGUUCUCUGGGCAUGACCUGACGCUGAGGAGCGAAAGUGUGGGGAGCGAACAGG
rnacentral:rRNA from 1 species